CUCUGAAGCAUGCAGCGCAGGAGUUAAACAGAGAACACGUGUCUCAGGAACCCUGUGGCCUUCGUCAGCGGCUAAUUAAAUCCCAGCCUAUUCAUUCUGUUUAAUGUGGUUUUAAUUCAAUUACAGGCAGGGUCAGGGAAGGGUUCUCUGCAGCAGUGGAAAGAGAGAGAUAGAGGGACGUUGUUGACACUGGACAUAGAUGACGUGAGCAAUAACUGCAUUAGACUCCUGAACGAGGAGAGGGACAGAAGCAGAUAUACAGUGGGUUACCAGGAUGGCUGAAUGGUUGCACACACCUCGGGAGUGACGUAGGAGAGGAAGACUUGGAAGAGGAGAUCGUUGGAGAAGCGCUGGAGGAACUCUGGAGGUUAGGAGAUUUCUGCUGGAGAAGAGGUAAGUCGAGAGGUAAGUUUGAAGAGUCAAUGCAAGUAACUAAGACAGGGAAAGUUCCACUGUGAAGCUACGAGAUCGGACAAAUGAAAGUGACUGAGGUGUAUGCUCAUGUGGUGGUGAGUGAAUGAGAUCAGGUGCUGGUGAUUAAAUGAUUGGAUUGUGAACAGGUGCUGGUGAUUAAUGCUCGAGUGAGGAAGUGCUCUGUUGGUGAUG
ensembl:lncRNA